rnacentral:rRNA from 1 species
UUGGAGGGCAAGUCUGGUGCCAGCAGCCGCGGUAAUUCCAGCUCCAAUAGCGUAUAUUUAAGUUGUUGCAGUUAAAAAGCUCGUAGUUGAAUUUCGGGGUUAGUAGGUUGGUCAUGCCACUGGUAUGUACUGGUCUCACUGAUUCCUCCUUCCUGAUGAGCCGUAAUGCCAUUAAUUUGGUGUUGCGAGGAAUCUGGACUGUUACUUUGAAAAAAUUAGAGUGUUUAAAGCAAGCUAACGCUUGAAUACAUUAGCAUGGAAUAAUGAAAUAGGACGUUCGAUCCUAUUUUGUUGGUUUCUAGGAUUGACGUAACGAUUAAUAGGGAUAGUUGGGGGCAUUAGUAUUCAAUUGUCAGAGGUGAAAUUCUUGGAUUUAUUGAAGACUAACUACUGCGAAAGCAUUUGCCAAGGAUGUUUUCAUUAAUCAAGAACGAAAGUUAGGGGAUCGAAGACGAUCAGAUACCGUCGUAGUCCUAACCAUAAACUAUGCCGACUAGGGAUCGGAUGAUGUUAAUUUUUUAAUGACUCAUUCGGCGCCUUACGGGAAACCAAAGUGUUUGGGUUC